AACAUUUGUUAGCUAUAUAUUUAUUAUUUUGUUCAUUUCAUUUCGAAUUAAGUAACAUCAUUUUCGCGAUAAAAUGUAAAUUAUUUAAUUAAAAAAUACUUAUCAACAUCCGACAAAUAUGUUCAACAACAUUGAAGACAUUCGGCAGAUAUUAAAACGAGAAAGUCUUCCAAAAUUAUUUCCACAACUUAUAACCGUCAAUAGUAAUGAUAAAACGUAAAAUCAAAGGAAUACAUUAAUGCAAGAAAAACACCGUGUGGCCGAACACCUCCAGCAGCUGUGAGAAGAACUGGCCAAGGACCCACUUUGUUUUUGUUGCUACGAAGAAAAUGUAUUUUGGUCGAUGCACGAAUUAGAAUACAAAUCAAUUCGAUUUAAAAGCGGCUUACCAUGCCAAAAGGGUCAGUGAAGAAGACAAAUACUGGAAAGAACUACCCAUGAUGAUUACUUGAUGAUUAUUCGUACUCGAUUCCGAUUUAAAUGUAUGGUCAGAGAAGAGGAGUUCUUUAAGCGAAGAUAAAUGCCUUAGUUCAAAUUUGACUUCAAUAAUCAAAAUGCAAACUUUCUAAAAAAGGUUCUCAUUUUGAACGAGUCUAGAGAGAUUCACAAUGGGAGUGUACAGAAGAAUUGGUGGAAUCCCACUUACCAAAGCUCUACUGGCAACUAUCAGUCAAAUAAUCGAAACUAAUUUUGACAGUUCCUUCCUCAGUCAAAGAUUAAAUAAUCGAUUCCAACAGCAAGUGCAAUCAACUGAGCAUAGAGAAAUCAUCUGGAUGCCUUAAAUCGCCUUAAAAUUCUUCAAAGCUUAUGACAACGAUGUCCAAGUACAAUGGAAUGUUUCGAUUUAUUGCUAAAGUGUGGUCCUGUCUAUGAGUAUAGAUGAAUACAGAAAAGCAUCGCUCUUUACAAUGGAUCAUUCGAUUUGGACUUCCAAUUCCUGACCUGAUUAAAACAGCAUACGUUUUAACAGAAAACACCGCGAAAAAUUAUGCAAGAGCCGAAGGUUAUUCUUGGUCGUUAGUAUCUAUCUAGCACAAUAUUCCAUUGGACUAGAGAAAAUUUGUCCUUCGUUAAAGGCAAU